AAGUUCUGUGGUACACUUGGGCUGUGCUGUCAAGGAAGUCAGUGCAAAACAGAACUUUG
rnacentral:pre_miRNA from 1 species